rnacentral:misc_RNA from 1 species
ACAAACUUGGUCAUUUAGAGGAAGUAAAAGUCGUAACAAGGUUUCCGUAGGUGAACCUGCGGAAGGAUCAUUAACGAAUCGAACAAAAGGCCCGGCUGAUGCUGGCCCCCUCGGGGGUGUGUGCACGCCGUGUGCCUCGCUUCGCCCUUCCCCCCUUGUGCACUCCGUGUAGGUCGCCGGUGGCGGGGCCCCCUUCCGCCUCGGCACCUACGAUUUUCGUCUUUGUACGCACCCCGAUCGCAUGUACGCGAGCGCAGCUUUCUUGUGUUGACGCACAACACUAAAUACAACUUUCAACAACGGAUCUCUUGGCUCUCGCAUCGAUGAAGAACGCAGC